CUCAGCACAGCAGUACUCUUACAUACUCGUGAGCCCGAGAGUGUAAAGCAGUGCCGGUGGCAGCGGCACCAGCGGUGGUGGCCGCGGUGACUACGAACGUGUGUGGGUAUUUAGAGAGUAGAGAGGAGAGACACCCAGAGAAAGAGGAUUCCGAGUUGCGGUGAAGAGCAAGAGGAGUUUCCGUAUUCGUGCUGCUGUGUACUGGAGUAGUCAUCAUCAUCAUCGCCGUCGUGUGCUUUCAUGUUUUUAGAGUUUUUUUAUUGCCGAGCUGGGAAAAGAGAAGAGACACGAGACACCGCGACCACGACCAUGACGAUGACGAUGACGACAAUGAUAACGACAAGAGAAUCGGACAAUAUUCGCGAUUUAUAUAUAAAAUAUUUAACAAAAAAAAGAGGUUUGGAUUAAAAAAUACAAAAAGAGGAAAUAAAAAAAAGCGAAAGAGGUUUAUCGACCUCGC